rnacentral:rRNA from 1 species
AGUGAACGCUGGCGGUAGGCCUAACACAUGCAAGUCGAACGGCAGCACAGGAGAGCUUGCUCUCUGGGUGGCGAGUGGCGGACGGGUAAGGAAUACAUCGGAAUCUACUCUGUCAUGGGGGAUAACGUAGGGAAACCUACGCUAAUACCGCAUACGACCUACGGGUGAAAGCAGGGGACCUUCGGGCCUUGCGCGAUUGAAUGAGCCGAUGUCGGAUUAGCUAGUUGGCGGGGUAAAGGCCCACCAAGGCGACGAUCCGUAGCUGGUCUGAGAGGAUGAUCAGCCACACUGGAACUGAGACACGGUCCAGACUCCUACGGGAGGCAGCAGUGGGGAAUAUUGGACAAUGGGCGCAAGCCUGAUCCAGCCAUACCGCGUGGGUGAAGAAGGCCUUCGGGUUGUAAAGCCCUUUUGUUGGGAAGGAAAUCCAGCUGGCUAAUACCCGGUUGGGAUGACGGUACCCAAAGAAUAAGCACCGGCUAACUUCGUGCCAGCCGCCGCCGUAA